GAAACCGCGAUAAGGGGACCCCGAGUGCCAGUACCUAGUACUGGCUGUCCCGCUGUUUAAAUAACAGUGGUUAGCAAGGGCCGGGCAAGACCGGUGCCAGCCGCCGCGGUAACACCGGCGGCCCGAGUGGUAGCCGUUAUUAUUGGGUUUAAAGGGUCCGUAGCCGGCUUAUUAAGUCUCUUGGGAAAUCUGGCGACUUAAUCGUCAGGCGUCCAAGAGAUACUGAUAGGCUUGGGACCGGGAGAGGUGGGAGGUACUCCAGGGGUAGGGGUGAAAUCUCGUAAUCCUUGGGGGACCACCGAUGGCGAAGGCAUCCCACCAGAACGGGUCCGACGGUGAGGGACGAAAGCUGGGGGCACGAACCGGAUUAGAUACCCGGGUAGUCCCAGCUGUAAACGAUGCUCGCUAGGUGUCAGAUGCGGUGCGACCGCAUCUGGUGCCGCAGUGAAAACUUGAAGCGAGUCACCUGGGAAGUACCGUCGCAGGCUGAAACUUAAAGGAAUUGGCG
rnacentral:rRNA from 1 species